UUGACCUCGGAUCAGGUAGGGAUACCCGCUGAACUUAAGCAUAUCAAUAAGCGGAGGAAAAGAAACCAACAGGGAUUGCCCUAGUAACGGCGAGUGAAGCGGCAAGAGCUCAAAUUUGAAAGCUGGCCCCCUCGGGGCCCGCAUUGUAAUUUGCAGAGGAUGCUUCGGGCGUGGCCCCUGUCUAAGUGCCCUGGAACGGGCCGUCAGAGAGGGUGAGAAUCCCGUAUGGGAUGGGGUGCCCACGCCCGUGUGAAGCUCCUUCGACGAGUCGAGUUGUUUGGGAAUGCAGCUCUAAAUGGGUGGUAAAUUUCAUCUAAAGCUAAAUAUUGGCCGGAGACCGAUAGCGCACAAGUAGAGUGAUCGAAAGAUGAAAAGCACUUUGAAAAGAGAGUUAAAAAGCACGUGAAAUUGUUGAAAGGGAAGCGCUUGCGACCAGACUCGCCCCAGGGGUUCAACCGGCUUUCGGGCCGGUGUACUUCCCCCGGGGCGGGCCAGCGUCGGUUUUGGCGGCCGGUCAAAGGCCCCUGGAAUGUAACGCCCCCCGGGGCGUCUUAUAGCCAGGGGUGCCAUGCGGCCCGCCGGGACCGAGGAACGCGCUUCGGCUCGGACGC
rnacentral:rRNA from 1 species